AGAAAAGUAAAAAAAAGUAAAAAGAGAAAAAGUAAAAAAAUUAAAGAGGUUUGAUUUCCUAUAUUU
rnacentral:ribozyme from 1 species